GAUGAACGCUGGCGGCGUGCCUAAUACAUGCAAGUCGAGCGAACAGACGAGGAGCUUGCUCCUCUGACGUUAGCGGCGGACGGGUGAGUAACACGUGGAUAACCUACCUAUAAGACUGGGAUAACUUCGGGAAACCGGAGCUAAUACCGGAUAAUCUAUUGAACCGCAUGGUUCAAUAGUGAAAGACGGUUUUGCUGUCACUUAUAGAUGGAUCCGCGCCGCAUUAGCUGGUUGGUAAGGUAACGGCUUACCAAGGCAACGAUGCGUAGCCGACCUGAGAGGGUGAUCGGCCACACGGGAGCUGAGACACGGACCAGGCUCCUACGGGAGGCAGCAGUAGGGAAUCUUCCGCAAUGGGCGAAAGCCUGGCGGAGCAACGCCGCGUGAGUGAUGAAGGUCUUCGGAUCGUAAAACUCUGUUAUUAGGGAAGAACAAAUGUGUAAGUAACUAUGCACGUAUUGACGGUACCUAAUCAGAAAGCCACGGCUAACUACGUG
rnacentral:rRNA from 1 species